UACGUAGGGUGCAAGCGUUAAUCGGAAUUACUGGGCGUAAAGCGUGCGCAGGCGGUUGUGCAAGACAGGUGUGAAAUCCCCGGGCUCAACCUGGGAAUGGCAGUGGAUACUGGACAGCUAGAGUGUGUCAGAGGAUGGUGGAAUUCCCGGUGUAGCGGUGAAAUGCGUAGAGAUCGGGAGGAACAUCAGUGGCGAAGGCGGCCAUCUGGGACAACACUGACGCUGAGGCACGAAAGCGUGGGGAGCAAACAGG
rnacentral:rRNA from 1 species